UACGAAGGGGGCUAGCGUUGCUCGGAAUCACUGGGCGUAAAGGGUGCGUAGGCGGGUCUUUAAGUCAGGGGUGAAAUCCUGGAGCUCAACUCCAGAACUGCCUUUGAUACUGAAGAUCUUGAGUUCGGGAGAGGUGAGUGGAACUGCGAGUGUAGAGGUGAAAUUCGUAGAUAUUCGCAAGAACAUCCAGUGGCGAAGGCGGCUCACUGGCCCGAUACUGACGCUGAGGCACGAAAGCGUGGGGAGCAAACAGG
rnacentral:rRNA from 1 species